rnacentral:rRNA from 1 species
GGGACCUAAGCAUACUUCCAAGAAAAACCUCUAAGCUUCAGGUAAUUGCUACCCGUACCGCAAACCGACACAGGUAGUCAAGGAGAGAAUCCUAAGGUGCUCGAGUGAUUCAUGGCUAAGGAACUAGGCAAAAUCGACCUGUAACUUCGGGAGAAAGGUCGCCCCGAGCAAUCGGGGCCGCAGUGAAAUGGCCCAGGCGACUGUUUAUCAAAAACACAAGGCUUUGCUAAAUCGAAAGAUGAUGUAUAAGGCCUGACACCUGCCCGGUGCUGGAAGGUUAAGAGGGGGGGUUAUUCCUUCGGGAAGAAGCUCUGAAUCGAAGCCCCAGUAAACGGCGGCCGUAACAAUAACGGUCCUAAGGUAGCGAAAUUCCUUGUCGGGUAAGUUCCGACCUGCACGAAUGGUGUAACGAUCUGGGCACUGUCUCAGCCAUGAGCUCGGUGAAAUUGUAGUUCCGGUGAAGAUGCCGGAUACCCGCAACGGGACGGAAAGACCCCGUGAACCUUUACUACAGCUUAACAUUGAUUCUGGGUAAGUGAUGUGUAGGAUAGGUGGGAGACUAUGAAGCGGCUUCGCUAGGAGUCGUGGAGUCAACCUUGAAAUACCACCCUUUAUUUAUCUGGGUUCUAAUCCCUAACGGGAGACAGUGUUUGGUGGGUAGUUUGACUGGGGUGGUCGCCUCCAAAAGCGUAACGGAGGCUUCCAAAGGUACCCUCAGCAUGAUUGGUAACCAUGCGCAGAGUGUAAUGACACAAGGGUGCUUGACUGUGAGACUGACAAGUCGACCAGGUACGAAAGUAGGGCAUAGUGAUCCGGUGGUUCCGUAUGGAAGGGCCAUCGCUCAAAGGAUAAAAGGUACUCCGGGGAUAACAGGCUGAUCGCUCCCAAGAGCUCAUAUCGACGGAGCGGUUUGGCACCUCGAUGUCGGCUCGUCGCAUCCUGGGGCUGGAGAAGGUCCCAAGGGUUGGGCUGUUCGCCCAUUAAAGUGGCACGCGAGCUGGGUUCAGAACGUCGUGAGACAGUUCGGUCCCUAUCUGUUGUGGGCGUUGGAGAUUUGAGAGGGCCUGCCUCUAGUACGAGAGGACCGAGGCGGACAGACCUCUAGUGUACCUGUUGUGGCGCCAGCUGCACCGCAGGGUAGCUACGUCUGGAAGGGAUAAGCACUGAAAGCAUCUAAGUGCGAAGCCUGCCUCAAGAUGAGAUCUCCUU